UAUUGUGGUGGUUUCUGUGUUUGGCAGAUCUGUCACUGUAGCAGAGCAGCCUUAAGCUACCACAGAGAUCAGAAAGGAGAAACUGUGCUGAGAACUUUUUCAAGCUUUUAGUUUUCAGCAUUUUUUCAGCUCCUACACAA
ensembl:snoRNA